ACUUCACAUUGAUACUGGCUGCUAGCAGCUAAUAGCUAUUUUGCCUGUUUCUAGCUCCCCACGCCAUGAUUCAUUGUCAUUUUUGCGGGAGAACAUUGCACACGUUAAAGGGUUAUGUGUUGCAUUGUAGGGUUCAUAGAAACGAACCACGCUGCGUGUUCAAGUGUGAGAGUACUGACUGCAGGCAGACAUUUUGUACAUAUGCAUCAUUUAAGUGUCACUUCUAUCGAAAGCACAAUGUCCCAGCGCCGUUUGCUAAUGCUAACACAGCCAUUAUAUCAAGUUUUAUUUGCGCCAUGUCACUGUGUUCAGACCGAUUUCAGACUGUGCAGGAACUUCUUGUACACUUAAAAAAACAUUUAGUGGAGGGAAGAUCUGUAAAGUGUCAUGUGGCAGGUUGUCAAAGCACAUUUACUUUAAAAGUAAAUUUGUACAAUUGUUUUGUUCUAUUUAUUUAGUCAUUUGGCUCAGGCUUUUAUCCAAAGCAACGUGCAUACAAAUACCUACGGGGCCAUUCUCCCCUAGAGCAACAUGGGGUUAAGUGCCUUGCUAGGGGCUAGCUUCAACCCCUGACUUCUGUGGCUACUGGCAUGAUAACCAAGUUCCUUUACCCCAUCGCCACCACCAUCUUAGUCAAGAUACCAGCUCUGUAGCAUUGCUAACUGAAAUACGAUGAAUCAAAUAACAUGUAUGAAAUAAUGUUGACACGUUGUCAAACUAAUUGCCUGAGUAUUUUUUUAGCAAAAACGAUUUCAUUUCAUGGGCAAAAUGACAUGUUCUGCUCAAAGGACAACUUCGGUCCAUUUCAACAAGAGCUCUAUUGCUGAAGCUACUCGAGACUUGCCAGUACUGAAGACGCAAAACAUUUUGGUCCAACUUGUAUAGGUUUAUUUGAACAGAGAAUUAGCUCUGAUAGCUAACCCAUGGGGGCAGAACUUUACACUGUUUUAUCAUAUCAUUUGUUUAAAUUUUGUAUAUGGCUGCUUGCACAAACACACUGUUUUUAACUACUUUUUAAGCAUUUCUAGUCAUACACAUUACAGUGUUGUGUUGUACUGUGUCAGCUGGUGUUGUAUAGCUUUGGCGUUGACAUUUGGAGUGUUAAAUUCACAAUUUAAAGUUAUGCCCCCAUGGAUUAGCUGUCAGUGCUAAUUCUCUGUUCAAGGAAACCUAUAGGAUUUAGACCAAAAUUUCUCACGUCUUCAGUCCUGGCAAGUCUCAAGUAGCAUGAGCAAUAGAGCUCUUGUUGAAAUUGACCGAAGUUGUCCUUUAACUUAGGAAUCUAUACAUUAUACCAAAGGUGUCUGUCAUCAAGAGGGAAAAAAAAGACAUUGAUAUGUCAAUAGACAGAGUGUAGUGUCUAAUGUCUAUAGGCCUUAAGGUUCACUCUCCCAUAAUUCAAAGGAACCAACUUUCUUUUAAAAGUCUGACCAUGCUGAGCAUAAAUCAGAAUGUUAACACUGAACAUUUUGGGUUGCACUACAUGUUUCAGGUAGUCAAUGUAUUUCCAUACAUUGAAAAUGCAAUGGAAACACAUUACAGAAACAUGACUCUCCAUGAGCUAGGGGAAGGUGUAAUGCAAUUUGCAAUGUUUGGAAAUACACUGACUACCUGAAACAUGUAGUGCAAAAUUUUCAAUGUAAACAUUUUAAUUCAUGUUAAGCAUGAUGGGACCUUUAAAAAAAUCUAUAUAUUUUUUUUAAAGUUGGAUUAUGUGGGGGGUUCACGGUUGGCCCCUUAGCUCCCCGCCUACCAGUUAAACUUUAAUUAAUGGAAAACUGUAACCCGUAUUCUCACCUUUUUUGUCUUUUCCUUUGUACUGAUUUGACUAGUUGAGAUGGUUGUAUCAUUUAUAGUAGUAUGUGUUUCUUCUCUCUUCUGUUAACCUAGAUGUUUCUUCUCUAUUAAUCCGGAGAAGGGGACAAAAGUGGAACAAACAAAAACAAAACGGCUCCAUGUGAAUCCAAGAGUCCUUACUUUGAUUCAGGACCUCUCAGACCAUGAAUGGUGAGCUAUUUAAAAAGUUGUUCCUUCAGGUGACCAUGAACACCCAUGUUUCUCUAGAUGUUCUUCUAGAAGCAAUGCAGUUGCAUCUUAAUCAAGCCUUUACCAUGAUUCACAAGCUCUCCAUGAAUGGCGAGCUAUUUAAAAAGUUGUUCCUUCAAGUGGCCGCGAUAGUGAACACCCAUGUUUCUCUAGAUGUUCUUCUGGAAGCAAUGCAGUUGCAUCUUAAUCUAAGCUUCUGUAACUUGAUUCAUGACCUUUUCAACCAUGAAUGGCGAGCUGUUUGAAAAGUUGUUCCUUCAAGUGGCUGUGAACACCCAUGUUUAUCUAGAUGUUCUUCUAGAAGCAAUGCAGUUGCAUCUUAAUCAAGCCUUUACCAUGAUUCACAAGCUCUCCAUGAAUGGCGAGCUAUUUAAAAAGGUGUUCCUUCAAAGUGAUGGAGCCGAUGAACACCUAUAUCACCAUUUUUCGUGGCUCGCUAUUAACAAGGUUCACAUUUAUUCACUCACUCACUACCACACCUCACUCAUAAUUCCUCUCUCUCACAAACACAAGUGCAACCACACACACACACACACACACACACACUUUAAUGAUCUCUUUCUCAUUAUUUUUUCAACAAUAAAUUUGCAUUAUUGUGAAUUGUA